UGAUCACAUCACUUUGAAACACCAAUUCCUGUACAACCACCAAAGUUAAGCAAUAUUGAGCUUAGUCAGUAUCUAGAUGGGUGACCAUUUGGGAAUACCAGGUACUGUAA